GUCGCCGUGGUCUAACGGUUAGGAUUGCUGCCUUCCAUGAAGCGAAAAUUCGCCGCGAGCAGCAGGCUCGGGUUCGACUCCCGACGGCGACA